GUGGGGAAUCUUGCGCAAUGGGCGAAAGCCUGACGCAGCCAUGCCGCGUGAAUGAUGAAGGUCUUAGGAUUGUAAAAUUCUUUCACCGGGGACGAUAAUGACGGUACCCGGAGAAGAAGCUCCGGCUAACUUCGUGCCAGCAGCCGCGGUAAUACGAAGGGGGCUAGCGUUGCUCGGAAUUACUGGGCGUAAAGGGCGCGUAGGCGGACAGCUUAGUCAGAGGUGAAAGCCCAGGGCUCAACCUUGGAAUUGCCUUUGAUACUGGCUGUCUUGAGUUUGGGAGAGGUGAGUGGAACUCCGAGUGUAGAGGUGAAAUUCGUAGAUAUAGGAAGGAACACCAGUGGCGAAGGCGACUACCUGGACUGAUACUGACACUGAGGUGCGAAAGCGUGGGGAGCAAACAGGAUUAGAAACCCUGGUAGUCU
rnacentral:rRNA from 1 species